GGGUAGUAAAAAUUUUUAAACCUAAAGAAUUUGGCGGUACUUCAUUCUUACUAGAGGAACCUGCUCCUGGAUCGAUAAUCCACGAUUUAAUGUACAUGAAUUUGUUUUCAGUUUGUAUACCGCCGUUGUCUGAUUAUUUUUAAAGAAUAUAAUCUAAUUAGUUGUUAAACUAGGACUUCAGGUCAAGGUGCAGCUUAUGUUCAUGGGGGUGGUGGGUUACAAUAAAUUGUAUUUACAUGGAUCAAAGCGGGUAAAUAUUUGUGAAGGUGGAUUUAGUAGUAAAUCAAUAAUAAGAUUUUUGAUUGAAAUGAGCUCUGAA
rnacentral:rRNA from 1 species